CUUUUAGUGCAUUCUAUUUGAUACCCAAGAACCAUACCACGAAAGUUUGAUUCCGAAAAAAUUUUCCGCCGCAAACAAGAUUUUAUGGAUGUAAAUUAGAUAAAAGUGUGAUAUAAACAAAUAACUAACAAUUGCCAACUUAAAAAUCUAUUAAGUUUCUAAACAUUGGCAAUUAUUUUACACAAACUAUAUCAAUAUCCUGAUUUUAUGAAUCUCACAUUUAGUUGUGUGUUAAAAAAGCGAAAAUCCUUGUGUAGUGUGCGUGCGUGCGUGUGUUUUUUGUAAGAAAAUCUUGUGAAUCGUUUAAAUAUUUGUAAUGCGUAAGACGCGAUCCCAAACCCAUGCAGAAAACGCGUUACUGUCUGGCAGCGCCACGAGCAGUUCGCGUUCUGGUGUUGUAUCUUCAUCGACCACCACCACCGCCACAAAUCAUCACCAGCAACAUCAACUGAAUUCCGGCAACCCACAAAAGAGGAGUAAUCAACAAUCAUCAGCAGCUACCCCCAAUUUUGCUGAUGCUCCUAGGCUUAAGGAAUGUGAGGAAAUGGUAAGUCUUCUUCGUGUGGUUGAACUACAAAAGAUACUUGUUUAUUUGAACAUUUCCUUUGCUGGACGUAAAAUUGAUUAUCAAAGAAGAAUUUUACAAUUGUUGCGAACUAAUUUUGAAUUAAUUGCACCAAAGAUACGAGAAGUCUACACACAAUCCAUUGUUGAUCAACAAGCCAAUCAAUACGGUCCAACAGAACCGAAAAGAAUGUAUUCACAAAUGCAAAUGCAACCGAAUGCCGGUGGUAUGGUGGGUGCCAAUACUGCGGCUCAAAUGGGACAGGCACAACAAAUAUUAAAUCCAGCUAAUCAGGCUGGCAUGCAAGCUGGUGUACCGCCUGGCAAUAAUGUAGUACCAUUCCUACAUACUAUACCCACUCAAAUGCCCAUUCAUCCCGAUGUACGUUUGAGAAAAUUAGCAUUUUAUGAUGUGCUGGGCACUUUGAUUAAACCAUCAUCAUUAGUGCCUCGUAAUGCUCAGCGCAUACAGGAAGUACCGUUUUAUUUUACAUUAACUCCACAACAAGCCACGGAAAUAGCAUCAAAUCGUGACAUACGCAAUAGUUCGAAAAUCGAACAUGCUAUACAAGUUCAGUUGAGAUUCUGUCUAUUAGAGACAUCAUGCGAUCAAGAGGAUUGUUUUCCACCAAGUGUCAGUGUUAAAGUUAAUAAUAAAUUAUGCCAACUGCCAAAUGUCAUUCCAACAAAUCGUCCCAAUGUGGAACCAAAACGACCACCCCGACCAGUAAAUGUUACAUCAAAUGUUAAACUAUCACCCACAGUAACUAAUACAAUAACUGUGCAAUGGUGUCCAGACUACACACGAGGCUACUGUAUUGCUGUUUAUUUAGUUAAGAAAUUAACAUCUGCUCAACUAUUGCAAAGAAUGAAACAGAAGGGUGUUAAGCCAGCUGAUUAUACUAGAGCUCUAAUCAAAGAAAAGUUAACCGAAGAUGCUGACUGUGAAAUUGCUACGACUAUGUUAAAGGUAUCGUUAAAUUGUCCAUUGGGUAAAAUGAAAAUGUCCAUACCGUGUCGUGCUUCAACAUGCUCACAUUUGCAAUGUUUUGAUGCUAGCCUUUACCUGCAAAUGAACGAACGUAAACCCACUUGGAAUUGUCCAGUUUGUGAUAAACCUGCUGUUUAUGAUAAUCUGGUUAUUGAUGGCUACUUCCAAGAAGUAUUAGCCUCGAAUUUACUUAAACCAGAUGAUACUGAAAUACAAUUGCACAAAGAUGGCUCAUGGAGCACUCAUAGCUUAAGGAAUGAAGGUCAAAUUUUAGAUACCCCUACUAAGCCAGUUGAAAAAGUCGAAGUUAUUUCAGAUGAUAUUGAACUCAUUACCACAGAAGAUGUUAAACCUGUCAAGGCAGUAGCUUCUGCAUCGCUUAAUACAAAUGAACAACCUUCAUCAACUACAAAUAGUGAAACUGUGGACUUGACACUCAGUGAUUCCGAUGAUGAUUUACCUUUGGCGAAACGUCGUCCUAUCGCUAAACAGAAUACCAAUCAAGGAGCACCCUCCUCGACUAUGAACGGCAAUGGUGGAGCUGGUAAUCAAAGAGGCAUGUAUAUGCAACAAAAGAAUGAUAAUGAAGUUAUAUCCUUAGAUUCACCCUCACCACCGGCCAGUCCUAUACGUACGGAUGUGGGUAAAUAUUGAAUGAAUGAUAAGUAGUUAGAAAACAAAAUAAUCGGCUUCAUAAUAUAAAAAUAUGUCUCCUCAACAACCACAACAAUGACAACAAAUAUUUAUCAUAAUCAAUAUUUUACCUCAGAUGAAGCCAAACGCAAUUUUAUGUUAAACCAAUGUGCCUAUAAAAGAUAAACCAAAAAGUAAUGUUUAUUUUCUCUAGUAUUUAGUAAGUUUUCGCAAAAGUUUUAUUUAAAAUACUAAUUUUAAGAGUUUAAUUUAGUUCCCGUAAUUCUCGGUAUAGUAAGUACCCUAAGGAGUUUAGUCUAUAAUUUGAAUCGAAAACAAAUAUUUUAGAUAUAAAAUACAUACCGGAUCGAAAUAAGCAGUAAUUCCCCAAGGACUGUUGUUUUAAAUAAAAAUAUUAAUUUAAAAUGACAUUGCCAAACCAAGUUUAAAAGAAAUUUUUCAGCAAAAGUUAUAAACUCGUUUUAAUUUAAUUAAAAAACAACACAAAUUAUAAAAAUAUGGUGAAUUUUGAAAGUGAAAUAAUAUGGAGGGAUUGUAAUUUGUUUUCAAACCAGAAAUGUUGAAUACUUUAUACGUAUUUCGAAUUUUUUUCCGAUUGAGUUUUAAAACUUUAAUUCAUGCAUAAACAAUUAUUUUGGUAAUUUUUUGCGGUAUAUUUUGUUGUUUGCCAUGAAUAU